GGGUGCAAGCGUUAUCCGGAAUUAUUGGGCGUAAAGAGCUCGUAGGCGGUUUGUCGCGUCUGCUGUGAAAACUGGAGGCUCAACCUCCAGCCUGCAGUGGGUACGGGCAGACUAGAGUGCGGUAGGGGAGAUUGGAAUUCCUGGUGUAGCGGUGGAAUGCGCAGAUAUCAGGAGGAACACCGAUGGCGAAGGCAGAUCUCUGGGCCGUAACUGACGCUGAGGAGCGAAAGCGUGGGGAGCGAACAGG
rnacentral:rRNA from 1 species